CAUCCUUCUCCAACUCCGGCCGCUGCCACAGCCAGGCCGGCGUGGUGGUGCGCCUUCGCCUCCCAUCCAUCCACCAGCGCCACCAUCUUCUUCUCCUUCCCCGAAUCCACCAUCAUCCAUCCACACCGCCGUCACCAGCGCCACCAUCUCCAGCCACCAGCACCACAGCGCCUCCCCACACCUCACGCAACCCACCAGACAGAUGGCCGGAGGCGUCUGAUGCCCCGCGCGAUUCUCCUCCCCAAAUCUGAACUGCUGCUGCUCCUCCACCUUUCUUCUUCCCCCAAAUUCUGUUGCUGCUCUCUUUCUAACCUCCCCACGCCUCUGUUCUUCUUGCCCAAACCUUGCUGCUGCUCUUCUUCUACUGCGCCCCCUUGCUGAUCUCUCACGCUGCUGCUCAUUCCCUCAUCACGCUGCUGUUUUCUUCUUCUCCUGUCGCUGCUCUCUUCUUCCCUUGCCUCUAGUUGCUGCUCCUAAUCUUUUCUGAACCCCAGCCUGCUGCUCUUUCUUCUCCCUACCUCGCUGCUGCUCUGCCCUCUUCUCUGAACCUCUCCUCUUCCUCCCAACGCCCCCUGCUGCUUCUUCCUCAUUGCCUGCUGCUGCUCCUCCCCCUGCCUCGCUUCUUCCUCCUUGCCUGCUGCUCCUGCCUUAUCUCUCUCUCUCUCUCUCUAAAUUUCUGUAGUAUUGCGAGAUGUUUCAGACUUUGUAAGGUUCAGAUUCGUAGAGUACUUAAAACCUGUUGUUUGCUCAGUUUCGUACUUGUUUUCUAGAAUGUAUGUGUUCAGUUUCAGACUUGUGUUUGUAGUGUUACAUGGUGAUCUGUGAGCUAAACCGUGGCAUGUGUCACUCAGUUUGUAUGCUUGAUAAUUAGCUAUAUAUAUCCCCAGUCCAUUUCUUGCUUAAGAACCUUGUUACAUUGUGUAGUAUUUGUGUUAGCAGUACAUGUGAUAUAUAUAUAUAUAUAUAUAUAUAUAUAUAUAUAUAUAUAUAUAUAUAUAUAUGACGGUCUAUUCUGCUAAUAUUAGCACAAUAACUAUUCUGCACACCACUUCUGCACUGCACGCUCAACGCAAGUGCACGUCAUUCUUUGAACCAAGUGUGCUGCACUACUCACACGAGUGAACUUCUCGUCGGAAAAAACUGCGCGCGUUAUUCUUUCGGUACUGUUUUCGCUCUAUUUUUUUAACCAUUUACCGGAAUGAGGCGUGUAAUAUACCAUUGAAAAGCUAUGGAUUAGGCUCAACUUCGACAUGUUGAACACUUUUCGAGAUUCCACACGGUUUAAGAGCAGUUUUGAAAUUGGCGCGUCCCAUGACGAGUGGCAGCGAGCGUUUUUUGCUGAUUUCUUCUAAACCACUCGUCGGAAUGAAGCAAACGAUACGCCGUUGGAUAGAUAUCGUCGAGGCGCAUCUUUUUCAUAUAUAAAUGCUUCUCUAAUUCCUUACGGUUUAAGAGCAGUUUCAAAUUUACUAAAUCGCGGAAAUCUGUUUUUGAAAUGUUCGGUACUGUUUUUGCUCCAGUUUUCUAACCGUUUGUCUAAACGAGACGUAUGAUACGCUGUUGGAAAGCUACGGACAAGGAGCAACUUUCAUAUGUUGAAAUGGUUUUGAGAUUCCUUACAGUUUUAAGUUAAUUUUGAAAAUCCUGCGGCUGACUUCGAGAGGCAGCGGCUGUUUUUUCGUGAAAUUUUUACGAAUGGCUGGUCGGAAUAAUUCAAAUCAUACGCCGUUGGAAAGAUAUCGAUGAUACGCAACUCUUUCAUGUAGAACACUCUCUAUAAUUCUUUACGGUUUAAGAGGAAUUUCGAAUUUACCGAAAUGCGGACACUCUAUUUUUCGCGACACCCAAAUCGACGUGGGUACUUCAUCCGACCGAAAACCGCACUGCAACGGACAAAAAACCGCACUGUAUCACAUGGGUAAGAGAACUGCAUGGUUUCUUUUAUUCAAACAUGAUUUUUUUCAAGAACAAGAAAGUAGAGUGCACUUCACAUCGGGUGUAAAUGAACCACAACAGUACCAAAAAGUGAACCGCAUUACUUUUUUUCGCUUUCCUAACAAUUUUUUUGCACUUACGGGAUGAACAACAUCAUACGACCGACCGCGCUGCUUCUGAAUGAAAACCGCAGUGCAUCGGAUGGGCAAGCGAAGUACAUGGUUUCUUCUGUAUUUUUUUAACUUUUUCUAUGGACAAGUAGACCGCAGAGACGAGGGCACGUGAACCGCAACAAUAUCGAAAGUGAACCGCAUUACUUCUUUUGCCGGUUUUUCUAACAUAUUUUUUUGAAUAUGUAACACUGAGACAAGGCAAGCGGACUGCAUCAAUAUUUUCAGUAUUUUUUUCUGCACAAGGAAUCAAAGUGCACUGCAUAAUAUAUAUAUUUUUUCUUUUUACAACAACAAAGUGUACUGCAUCAAUGUUUUUCUACAGAGUGAGCCACAAACGUUUGUUACAUUGAACUGCACUAUUUUCCUUUAAUAAUAUACGGGGAGCUGAUCAUAUACAGAAUGCCACUGUCCACAAAACAAGUGUGCUGCAUAAGCAAAGUGUUCUUUUUCACUGGACAAAACAAAACAGAGUGAACCCCAUUGUUUUGCAAUCUGGGAAUCAAGAGCAACACUUGCAGGCAAUAUGCUCAUAUACACUGCAGUAAGAUGGGCUUCUAUAGGUUCAGUGGACAAGUAUGGGGGAUGGGGAGCUGCAUGCCCGUGUCCUCUCCACUGCUUGCCCCGGAGCCAAAGAACUACAUGAAGAGGCGUUUUAUACUGCAUCAACAACAACCAUAAUCCCCCGUCUAUCAAUUAUGCCAUGCCCUGUAAAGCAAAUCGCACUGCUGUCAGUUGAGAACCCACAAAUUGCAUCACUGGAGUACACACCCAUGAGCUGAACCGCGGGGGAUGCACGCCAUGCACUGCAGUGGUGAACCUGAGCUGAUCCUCCACGCUAAACAUGAACAACAACCAAAAAAUAUUUCAGAGAAUAUGGGAACAAGAAGAAUAGGGAGUAGCAGUGCUACAAAUCAAAAGAACUAAAUCCAUCCGCCCACAUUCAUCGCCCUGGAACGCCAAGCAACAGGGGGCGGAGGUUGAAAGUCGCUGCCGCCGGCCGUUGGGGAGCUCCGACUUGUGAGCAACCGCCCAAGAGCCGCGGACUGCACACACGUGUGCGCCGCACUACACAUAUGCGGCCGCAAACCGCAUGGACGGGCGGUGGCCAGGGCGAGCGGCGCCAGGUGGUGGCCGGGGUGGAGGGAGGGCCGCGACGGAUGGUGGCCGGGGCGGAGGGCGGGCCGCGCCGGGUGGUGGCUCACCUCUGGUGUUGCUCUGGCCGUUCAGCACGGCGGCGUGGAGAGCAGUGCCCCGGCCAGGAAGGAAGAAGGAGAGGGGCGUGGCCGGAUCAGGUGCUGGUCGGCAGGGAGAGGGGUGCGGUGGCCGCAUCAGGUGUCGGUCAGCAGGGAUAGGGGCACGGCGGCCGGAUCCGGAUAUGGUCAGAUCCGCGAGGCCGCGGGACGGUGCCUGAUUGGCAGGGUGGACGGCGGCUCGGCGGCGGUAGGUGGCAGGGGGGAGCAGGCGGGGCCGGCUGGUGGGAGGACGAGGCGGGGUGGGGCCGGCUGGUGGGAGAAGGAGGCGGGGCGGCGCCGGCCAGUGGGAGAAGGAGGCAGGUGGUGGUCGGGUGGGGUAUCGGGGAGGGAAGUUUGUGGAGGAGUGGGGUUCGAGAGGGGAGUGGUGGGCAGCCGGUGGAUUUUUCUAUUCGUUAGGUUAGCGCGUGUUGGGGUGGCUACUGGGUAGGGGUGUUAGCAGAAUAAGAAAAUGGUGUGCAGAAUAAGACUCUUAAGGGUGUUAUCAUAAUAGACCCACCCUAUAUAUAUAUACACACACACACACAUUUGUGCGUGUCUUUGAUGUGAUGCACUUUAUGUUUUGUCCUACAUACUUGUUUCUUCCCUCUGUUAAAUGUAAAAUACUUAUAUAUAUAUAUGUCCAUGUCUUUUCAAUUCCCUAGCCGUUGAUGUAUGCUUGUGUUAGCAUUUUAUUUUUCAACUAAAAUAAAAACACAAAAAAAUAUACAUUGAGUAAAAUCUGAAUCUACCUUUGCUUAUCUGCAUUUUCUUUGGCGACAACCCUGUUUAGUUUAAUUUAACUUUUUUUGCAUUCAUCAUCUAAAUUCUGUUAGUAUAGUUGCCGUCGCCUAGUCCCUGAGGAGAACACGACACUCGUAGUUUGGGCGUAAAAACCCCGCUACACUUACAACUGAUCAUUUUGGCGCUGUUGCCGGGGACUAGCGUCGAGCGAUUGUGCUAGGCUAUAGACUAGGUUUUUCUUGUUUUCAUCUUGUGCCAUAUAUUUGUGAUAUAUCUCUACCCACUAAUCCCUGUUCUAGUUAGUAUCUUUUUGUCUUCUUUUCCUUUUUGCAGGUUGGAUUAUCCUCUCGGAAAUGGUAUUCUAUUCAGAUCAUCAUGCUUAUGCAAGCAACACUACAAACAGCACGGAAAGUAUUCAAGAACUGAUAGGUAAGAUUUCCCAUCGAUUAGAUGAUUUAGCUCGGCAGCGAGAAGUAGUUUUAGAGGAUAGGCCUAGUUCUUACUAUCCUUAUUCUAAAGGUCAUCCUUAUGUUGCUCCUACUUGCCAUAUUUGUGGAUUUCAGGGCCAUUUGCCCGCUGAAUGUCAGCGUGGCUACUCUCACACUCCGGAUUGUUUUGGCAUGAGCUUCGCUCAAGAGCAUAGCUCAUACCAAAACAAUUACUCACAUGGGUGGCCUGGAAUCCCGAAUAUGUCAUAUAGGAGCAACAACCCUGAGAUCUCACAGUUUGGUUCUAGUAAUCAUAUGCAGGGAUUUAGGUACAAUGAGGAGAGCCACAACUAUGCACCACAACAAUUCCAUUCAGCUCCUACUCAUAUACCACAGCACCAGGAGAUGUGUCCAAUGGAGUUAAAUGGUCCUCCAUUUGGUCAACCAACAACUCCAGCACCUGUUGUGCAAUCUCAUGUGCAAGUGCCCACACAAGAUGAGUUUGAUGACAUAGACAAGCUCACACUUUUGAGUCUCGAGUUCACUUGGAGUGCCGAGGAUGAUCCUAUUAGGAAGGUUAUACUAGAGGAAAUGAAGAAGAUUAAGAGUGGAAAGGAGCUAGUGGAAGAAGUAAGGAAGAUUGAGAAGAACAUCAACGCUGGCAGCACUAUUUCUUCACAACUUGAGUUGAGUGUGGCUGAGAUAUCCAUGGAUACAUGUGAGGUUCCAACACCUUCACAUUUCAUUGAGCAAGAUAGCAAGUGCCUUGAGCAAGAGAUACCUCAGAUUGAAGAAGAUGAACUAGAAGACAAGGAACAAGAUGGUCAAGAGCUGCAAUUCCCAAGUGAUCAAGUUGAAGACUCACCAUCUAGUACUCCUGAAGAAGUACAAGAAGCUGUUGUAGAUGAAGAUGAAGAACCUGAGAUUCAUUGGCCUAUUAUCAUACAUGAGCAUGAUGUGUCAGGUUUACCCAAUCCUCUUGAUGACAUGAGUCCUUAUGAUUUAUUUGCUUCUACCUUGCAUUACAUGAUGCCAUCACUUAAGAUUGAUUUGAAAAAUCAUUUACUUGGAUAUGAUGAUACAUACACUGUUGGUGGCAUUGCUCUCAUUUGUGAUGAUCACAACUACUUUCCUCAUGCUAGUCUUGAGCUUAAUGAUAAAUGUCAUCCUCGUGUGAGUAUUGACCAUGCUGAUUUCUGCCAUCCUAAACAUGUGCUUUAUAGUUAUGCUUAUAUAAUUGGAUAUUCCAUUGAUGACUUGGAGGGCAUCGACCGUAUCACCUGUAGUUGUUUGUGUGAGUCCUAUUUCAGGCUUUUGCUACUGCACUGUUUACUACAUGCUGACCAGGUUCGAGGUGACAUUCCUUGGGAUCCUGGUGGAGUCAGAGCAUGGCGAUGAGGAGAAGCAAUGGGGCACACAUAUGGAAGAGUGAAGCUGGAGCAUCCAUGAGGAAGCAAGGGAGAAGAGCUGCAGCUGGUGAGGUGAUCGAGCGAGUGCUACAUGAUCAAAGCCCGGUGAGAUGUUUCAUGACCCAUUCUGAAUAUCAUAAAUACAUGCUGAAUUCAAUUGCUAGUUGGGUUGCUUGAGCUAGUUAUUACUUGUUGUCAAGCUGAAAUUCACCUUUGGCAUUGUGCUUGAUGUGAAUUUGUGAACUUGAUUUCUGAAUGCCUUGUAAACUAGUGAUCUACACCAUGCAUGAUUUGCUGAAAUUUGUGGAAGUUAUUAGUUUUGAGUGCUCAAAUCCCUAGUACACUAGAAAACUUGAUCAUUUUCUGCUUUUACCUUGAUACACCUAGAUCACCAUGUUUAGAUGCCGAAUUUGUGCUAAGUGUGUUCCCAUUGAGAGCAAUCACCUUGCCACUAUGGAUUAGCAUGCUAUGUUCCCUGGAUCGGUAGCAUGUGAACCAGACAUGGAGAAGUGACGAUUCAUGUUUUUGUGCUUAUGCGUUGUUCAUUUAAGAUAGGUAAUAAUGAAUAUAUAAGUCUGGCUACCUACAGUAGCAUGUCAUGUUCCCGGGAUCGGUGGCAUGUGAAAUCGGGUUAGCUUGGGCAGUAAUUAAUAAUAAUAAUAAUGUAUUGUCGAACCAGGUGUAUAUCAUGUUCUCGGGAUUGGUGGUAUGUUCCUUGGGGAGACAAACAAAAAAAUUAAUAAAAAUUGGUUGAGCCAGGUGUAUACCAUGUUCUCGGGAUCAGUGGUAUGUUCCUUCAGUGAGACUAAUAAAAUAAUAUGUGUGUUUCUUUCAAAUUCAAUAAGUGGUUCAACCACAAAGUCAUAUUUCUGCAAAUAAGAGAUUUAAUUCCAGUUCUUUUUGUUCUCGGGAUCAUGCUCUCUUUAGGAACCAUUUGGCGCAGUCAUCAUUUAAACUUGUUGAUCCUCUUUUAUCAUUGUAAAAGUUUAAAAUGGUCAUGCUUACUAGUAUCCUACCACUUUGAAGAACUCCUAACCAUUAAUUUUCACUAGCUAAGUCCAAAGCAUGCACUGUUUAGAGAUCUACUUCACUUGGUAUUCUCUAGUCAGCUCACUGUUCACAUUCUUGUUCUUGUCAUAUGCCUUUGCUUGAGGACAAGCAAAAGUUUAAGUGUGGGGGAACUUGAUAAGCACAUUUCAUAUAUACAAUUUUGGCAUAGAAAUAUAUUAUUUAUUGAGAUAUGACCAUCAAUUCUUGCUGUGAAAUAUUGAAUAUUUGCAUGAAAAUCAUAUAAAGUAUCAUUUACUAGUCUUUGGUCUAUUUUGCAGAAAUGUGCGCAAAGGCACUAUAAAUCUUCAAGAUCCGGACUAAGUGGCUAAGAGAACGAAGAAGAGGAGGAAGAAUGGACCCGACCGUGAAGAAAAGAAGUAACCAGAGGGGCCAAGCUAAAGUUGGAGGGAUCAUCUUGUGAAGAAAGAAUAGAAGUGGAAGGGCAAAAGAGCAAAAGUGGCAUAUCAGAGGAGGGGGAUCAAAUCCCUAGCGCAGCCUCGAUCCCCUUUGGGCCUAGCAUAUCUCUCUCUCCCUCACCCAUUCUUCUCCAACCCCGGCCGCCGCCACGGCCAGGCCGGCGUGGUGGUGCGCCUUCGCCUCCCAUCCAUCCACCAGCGCCACCAUCUUCUUCUCCUUCCCCGAAUCCACCAUCAUCCAUCCACACCGCCGUCACCAGCGCCACCAUCUCCAGCCACCAGCACCACAGCGCCUCCCCACACCUCACGCAACCCACCAGACAGAUGGCCGGAGGCGUCUGAUGCCCCGCGCGAUUCUCCUCCCCAAAUCUGAACUGCUGCUGCUCCUCCACCUUUCUUCUUCCCCCAAAUUCUGCUGCUGCUCUCUUUCUAACCUCCCCACGCCUCUGUUCUUCUUGCCCAAACCUUGCUGCUGCUCUUCUUCUACUGCGCCCCCUUGCUGAUCUCUCACGCUGCUGCUCAUUCCCUCAUCACGCUGCUGUUUUCUUCUUCUCCUGUCGCUGCUCUCUUCUUCCCUUGCCUCUAGUUGCUGCUCCUAAUCUUUUCUGAACCCCAGCCUGCUGCUCUUUCUUCUCCCUACCUCGCUGCUGCUCUGCCCUCUUCUCUGAACCUCUCCUCUUCCUCCCAACGCCCCCUGCUGCUUCUUCCUCCUUGCCUGCUGCUGCUCCUCCCCCUGCCUCGCUUCUUCCUCCUUGCCUGCUGCUGCUGCCUUAUCUCUCUCUCUCUCUCUCUCUCUCUCUCUCUCUAAAUUUCUGUAGUAUUGCGAGAUGUUUAAGACUUUGUAAGGUUCAGAUUCGUAGAGUACUUAAAACCUGUUGUUUGCUCAGUUUCGUACUUGUUUUCUAGAGUGUAUGUGUUCAGUUUCAGACUUGUGUUUGUAGUGUUACAUGGUGAUCUGUGAGCUGAACCGUGGCAUGUGUCACUCAGUUUGUAUGCUUGAUAAUUAGCUAUAUAUAUCCCCUGUCCAUUUCUUGCUUAAGAACCUUGUUACAUUGUGUAGUAUUUGUGUUAGCAGUACGUGUGAUAUAUAUAUAUACACACACACACGUUUGUGCGUGUCUUUGAUGUGAUGCACUUUAUGUUUUGUCCUACAUACUUGUUUCUUCCCUCUGUUAAAUGUAAAAUAGUUAUAUAUAUGUCCAUGUCUUUUCAAUUCCCUAGCCGUUGAUGUAUGCUUGUGUUAGCAUUUUAUUUUUCAAAUAAAAUAAAAACACAAAAAAAUAUAAAUUGAGUAAAAUCUGAAUCUACCUUUGCUUAUCUGCAUUUUCUUUGGCGACAACCCUGUUUAGUUUAAUUUUACUUUUUUUGCACUCAUCAUCUAAAUUCUGUUAGUAUAGUUGCCGUCGCCUAGUCCCUGAGGAGAACACGACACUCGUAGUUUGGGCGUAAAAACCCCGCUACACUUACAACUGAUCAAUGUUCAUGGGGAGGCAACGGAAUGCGUCGUGUUCAUCGGGAGGCAACGAAACGCAUGGGAGCCAACCGGUUUGGACAGAACAUGCGAUGGAAACGAGGCCUGGCGUACCGCACAACGGAGGAAACGGACCUCCUAUGUUCGGAACGGGGUUCUGUUGAUCAGGAGGGGUGUGGCAUACCGCAAAACGGAGGAAACGGACCCCCCGCGGUCGAAACGGGGGUCAUGUUGAUUGGGAGGGGUGUGGCGUAGCGCAAAACGGACGAAACGGACCUCCUACGGUCGAAACGGUGGUCCUUUUGAUCGGGAGGGGUGUGGCGUACCGCAAAACGGACGAAACAGACCUCCUACGGUCGAAAUGGGGGUCCUGUUGAUUAGGAGGGGUGUGGCGUACCACAAAAUGGACGAAACGGACUUGUGUUGGAGCGCUACGGUCGAAACGGGGGUCCUGUUCAUCGGGCGGGGUGUGACGUACCGCAAAACGGGACUCCACAGGAUACUGUUUAUCUCCACCGUCGACCUCCUCCAGCCUCCACGGGCUACCGUCGACCUCCUCCAGCCUCCACGGGCUCCUGUUCAUCCAGCCUCCACCGCGCGCUACUCCACCGGCUACUGUUCAACCACCCCUUCAUCGUCUAUUGUUCAUCCAGCCCUCCACCAUCUACUGUUCAUCCAGCCCUCCACACCACGNNNNNNNNNNNNNNNNNNNNNNNNNNNNNNNNNNNNNNNNNNNNNNNNNNNNNNNNNNNNNNNNNNNNNNNNNNNNNNNNNNNNNNNNNNNNNNNNNNNNNNNNNNNNNNNNNNNNNNNNNNNNNNNNNNNNNNNNNNNNNNNNNNNNNNNNNNNNNNNNNNNNNNNNNNNNNNNNNNNNNNNNNNNNNNNNNNNNNNNNNNNNNNNNNNNNNNNNNNNNNNNNNNNNNNNNNNNNNNNNNNNNNNNNNNNNNNNNNNNNNNNNNNNNNNNNNNNNNNNNNNNNNNNNNNNNNNNNNNNNNNGUUAGCAAAAGUAGCGAAGGAAUCGCUCCAUCGGGUUCAGCUAACAGCCAUCGAUCGAUCGCUCGGGUUCAGUAACGCGUAGCCUGCAGUGCAAUCGCUCGAGUUCAGUUAGAGUCCAACGCCUCGCUCGGGUUCAGUUAGAGCCAACGCCUCGCACACACGCGCAUACCUGUAUGAGAGAAACGCGCAUCGCUCCGCCCCCCGAAAUUUUCCUCCCCUCGCUUCUACCAUGGUUUUUUUUCCGUCAUGGACGGCCCAAAGAAUGUCAUGCAGCUGCGUCUCCAGCCCGCCCAGGAUGAAAAGCCCAUUUUCUGUCAUGAUUUUUUGUCAUAGAAGUAGGAUCCCACCACAUCUAUGAUGAUACCGGGUUUUGUCACAAUUAUCGUCAUAGAAGUGUCAUAUGUAUGAUAGAAAAAAAAUUCGUUCAGCCCAAAAUGUCACGGAUGUGUCUUUUUUUGUAGUGUGGAUAUGCUCUUAGAUCUUGGGAUGCGUGGGUGCACUACAUUGUGGAACGGAGGGAGUAUGGCUCGGCUUACGAGGGUGGAACAAAACUAUGUACUUCCUCCAUUUAGGUGACUGUCGGCGUUCUAGGAACGGGGGUCCCCAGACUUGCCUACCUGCGGCCUGCGGUGUGGCUCAAGCGGAGGCCCAGUGCAGCCCAGCUUCAUCGGAUCAAGCUCAAGACCCUCGCGAGGGGCCAGGCCUUGCGGGGCGGACGACAGGAAGCUUCCUCAGGAGCAACCUCAUCAGGCGGGCUCGCGAGGAGGCGGAGAGAUCAAGGCAGGGUACCUCGCGAAGUGCCCGUGACGCAAGCCAUGACAAUCGAGACCAGGCGGGCUCCAGGCGGGCGUCGGCCUGCACAGUGUCCUUGUUUCCCCUUGGGUGCAAAGGGGGCAAGCACAGGCCAGGGCAUCAGGCAAAGGUUACUGUUUCGGUGCAACAAGACCAAGACCAGCAGAACGGCAGGAUGGAGGUCAUCGUGGAGCCCAGGACGGCGUCACCGUCAGAGUCUUUGGCAGUCGAAGACCAACUUUAGUCAGGACAAGUGUACUAGAUGUUCCCCUUCAAAAUGGCCAAUUAUUGGCGCCCUUCCCGCUCUUAUUUGGGAAGAGGCCCAAGGCCUCCCUCCAUAAAUAGAGCUAGACACCAUAGAGUAGGCAUCGAGGUUUUUGGGGUAGACUAGAGAGAGGCGACUGAACUCACCCAAGCAGUUCAUCGCACCAGCCCAAGAACAGCCCCUCGCGAGGCCGUUCUCCCUUUGUAUUGUUCAUCAGCAGCCCCUGAGGCAAUCCACCACACCACACACUCGAGUAGGGUAUUGCACCACAAUGGUGGCCUGAACCAGUAUAAACCUCCUGUCCCUUGUGUGUUCUUCUUUCUAACCUAGGUUCCUUGCGAGGCUUCGAGUCGUGAGUUGGUAGGGGAAAGAUCUUCGUGCGCACCCUAGAGUUUGAACCUCAAGGGUCUGCCGGAACCCGAAACCCGACAUUUGGCGCGCCAGGUAGGGGAGUGCCGGAAUCCUUCUUCCACCGCCUCGCGUUCGACGUCCGUCGCGCCCAUGUCUGACGCUCGCCGAGCUUGCGCCGAGCAUCUGGCUGCUCUCGCGGCCCAUGUCGCCCAGACGGCCCCCAUCGGCGGGCCUCCCCGUCGUUCGCCGUCGCUUGCCACCCACGCCGCCACCGGCCCGGCGGGGAACGAGCAGUAGGCGUCGUCGCUACAUCCCUCGGUGCAGCGGGAAGGCCGCACCGCCACCCCGUCGCUAACUCCGGCAGGCUCGUCGUCGCACGCUCGUCGCGCUCCCACGGACGCGCACGCCGCGUUGCUCCUGGCACGUGAGCUCCUCCACUACCGCCCCGUCGACGACCUCUACGACGAGUGGCUCGCUUGCAUCACCGAGCUCGUCAGCACCGCAGGGGGCUCCCCUGCGCCGUCCCUCUCGCUGCAUCGCCCACCGCCCUGCGCGGGCAACGCAGCUCCGGAGGCACCUCAGCCGCCUCCUCCUCAAGAAGGCGCCCUGGCCCCAAGGCACGCGGCCCCUGGACGAGACCCACCGCGUCCAGCACCCGCGCAGCAAGAAAGGAGCUGCCAAGAGGUCCCUCGCCCUCAAGAAGUCGCUCGCGUGCUCCCAGCGCCAGCACGCCAUGACCGCGUUCCUGCUCCAGCACGCCAAGACCCCAUGCUGCUGCUGACGGCAGCGCACGGAGACCUCCAAGAUCAAGCCCUCCGUCACCAAAGGCCCCCUGUAGCCACUGCAGGCUACCGCGCCUUCACCGCCGAGCUGCGCAGCGUGGCCUGGCCGGGCAAGUUCAAGCCAGAUCUGCCUCCUCGCUACAACGGUACCGCCAACCCCGCGAAGUUCCUCUAGCUCUAUGAGCUGGGCAUCGAGGCGGCCAACGGGGAUGAAAAUAUCAUGGCAAACUGGUUUCCCAUGGCGCUCAAGGAUGGCGCCCGCACCUGGCUUCUAAACCUGCCUCCCAGCACGAUCUCCUCUUGGGACGAGAUGCACACUCGCUUCAUCCCCAACUUUCAGGGCACUCGCAACCGUCCCCGGCCAUGGGUAAUCUGCGCCGCAUCAAGCAACAGCCAGGAGAGACCCUGCAAAAGUACAUCCAGUGCUUCAACAACGCCCGCCUCAAGAUCCCCAGGGUGACCGAGGAAGCCAUCAUCUCAGCCUUCUCCGAUGGCGUGCGUGACGUUAAGAUGAAAGAGGAGCUAGCGAUCCAUGAAGACCCGUGCACAUCUCUGGAGCUGUUCAACUUGGCGACCAAGUGCGCCAGGGCUUAGGAAGGGCGCCUCUCCCUCCUCGAGCUUCCGGCUGCUAAUCCGGAAGAGAAGAAGACCAAGGUGAAGGACGUGAAACGCAAAGGAGCUGAUGUGCUCGUAGCAGAGCCAGACACCAAGCGAGGCAGGGAUCAGCCGGAGUCAUCCAAGGGCAGCCAAUACUGCGUGUACCACGACCUCCACACCCACAACACCAAUGAAUGCCAAGAGCUCGGGGCUGUGCGAGAUGGAUGUAUCGGCCGACGCCCCGAGCGCAAUGAUCGGGGCUAUGGCCGAGGAGGAGGAAGAGGUGGAGGACGAUGGGAAGACCGUGGCCCUCGCCAAGGGUGGCGUGACCGACCUCGCAAGGACCAUUGGCAGGACCAGCCUCGCGAGGGAGGUUGGAGGGAUCAGCCUCGUGAGGACCGCCCGCAAGGCAACGCAUGCCUCCCUCCUCUGCCACCACCGCCGAGGAGGGAUGAAGACCAGUGUCGGUGUCAAAACCGGCGGAUCUCGGGUAGGGGGUCCCGAACUGUGCGUCUAGGCGGAUGGUAACAGGAGACGAGGGACACGAUGUUUUUACCCAGGUUCGGGCCCUCUUAAUGGAGGUAAAACCCUACGUCCUGCUUAAUUAAUAUUGAUGAUGUGGGUUACAAGAGUAGAUCUACCACGAGAUCAAGGAGGCUAAACCCUAGAAGCUAGCCUAUGGUAUGAUUGUUGUUCGUCCUAUGGACUAAGGCCAUCCGGUUUAUAUAGACACCGAAGAGGGCUAGGGUUACACAGAGUCGGUUACAAUGGUAGGAGAUCUACAUAUCCGUAUCGCCAAGCUUGCCUUCCACGCCAAGGAAAGUCCCAUCCGGACACGGGACGAAGUCUUCAAUCUUGUAUCUUCAUAGUCUUGGAGUCCGGCCGAUGAUGGUAGUUCGGCUAUCCGGACACCCCCUAGUCCGGGACUCCCUCAGUAGCCCCUGAACCAGGCUUCAAUCACGACGAGUCCAGCGCGCAUGUUGUCUUCGGCAUUGCAAGGCGGGUUCCUCCUCCGAAUAAUUUAUAGAAGAUUGUGAACACCAGGAUAGUGUCCGGCUCUGCAAAAUAAAUUCCACAUACAACCGUAGAGAGAAUAAUAUUACACAAGUUCAAUCUGCUGACGUAUUUUGUGGCGUAACGUCACACCACUACCAAGCCUUCAAAUUAUUUUUAUUGUUCCAUCUCAGCGCGUUUAGCGAGGCGGUUUCCUUGGCACGUCUUGUCGAAGCAGAGAUCGUGUUCCCCUUAUUCCGGGAUUCCCAUCAAUACGGACGUGGGUAACCCAACCGCGCCAUUGAUUACGGCGCUUGGAAGAUAAGCGAGUUUUACCAGGCUGGUGGGGACGCGUGUUUCUGUCUGCCCAUAUAAGGGGAUAAAGAUCCACCCUCUUUACCUGCGCCUUCUUCCUCCUUGGCUUAUCCAUCUCUGCGAACUCGAGAUCUAGCGCCCAAGCCCGCACAUCUCACCUCAACCUUCUCCAAAUAUGUUCGGAGUGGGAGGCAAGUGGAUGGCCUCCUCCGUCAUGGAGGGGCAUAUCCAGAAGCUGCGCAGCGCCGGAUACUUUUCCAGCGACAUCGCGCAUCGGCUCCCCGACGAGGGAGAGCUCAUCCCCACCCCUAGGCCCCAUGAGAGGGUAGUAUUCCUUCCCCAUUUCCUCCGUGGACUGGGCUUCCCACUUCAUCCCUUUGUCCGGGGGCUCAUGUUCUACUACGGCCUAGAUUUCCAUGAUCUGGCCCCGAAUUUUAUCCUCAACAUCUCGGCGUUUAUCGUCGUGUGCGAGACCUUCCUCUGCAUCCAGCCCCACUUCGGCUUGUGGCUCAAGACCUUCAGUGUCAAGCCGAAGGUUGUGAAGGGCAGCCAAGCAGAGUGCGGAGGCGCCAUGGUGGGCAGGAUGUCCCGUGUUACGUGGCUGGAGGGUACUUUCGUGGAAACCAUCAAGGGGUGGCAAUCGGGAUGGUUCUACAUCACCGAGCCGCGUGAUCCCGAAUGGGCAGCGGCCCCCGAAUUCAGAUCCGGCAUCCCCACACGGCUCACCUCCUGGAAAGAGAGCGGCCGGAUUUGGGGCGAUUCAGAGGAGCUGACCGGACUCCAAGCCUGCGUCCAAAAGCUGGUGGACAAGAAGCUCAAGCUUGUCAACGUAGUCCAGGUCAUGCUCAUCCGCCAGAUUCUCCCGUGCCAACGACGGGGCUUCAAUAUGUGGGAGUUCGAUCCGGCGCAGCACCAGACUUUGAAUGGGCUCUUCGACACUACGUAUGAAGAGGUCUGGAAGGUGUUGUUCAAGGGCACCGAGGCUCCCGCAUCCGCUACCAAAGACCGCGGAUUCAGCUCGCAGCGUCCAGCUGACGAGGUAAGUGAUAUUGUCCUUUACGGGGCGCUUGUUAUUCAUAGUUCGACUCUAUGCGGGAUCUAAACUCCCUUUCCUUUGACAGGACUGGCUGAAGAAGGCCGCAUAGGCUAUCUGUCCGGCCCCGUUGCCAAAGGACCCAGCUGACGCCCGCCUAACGGGGCUGCUGGCUCCGGCACCCCACGUGGUGCCGGAGAAGAAGGCCACGGGGACUCGGAAGAGUUCCCGUUUUCAGGUGCUAUCGGACGAUGAAUCCGAGGCCGACUCCUCCCACCAAGGCGAGGAGGAGAAGAAGAAAGCCUCUCCCCCAGCGGGGGGAGGGAAGAAAAGAAGGCCUCCCCAACAAGGGAGGCCGAAGGGUCCAAGAGGGGAAAAACUCUUCCCCCGGACUGUUCCGCCAACGCCAGUGACGACGACGAGGACUGGCCUCCAAGGGCCAAGCCUCUGGCGAGAUCGUAAGUAUCCGGACUCCCGAAUAACUUGAAGGUUUUCGUUUUCCGCCACAUUAUGUCUUUCUAAUGCCGCAUACAACCCUGCAGUCCGUCUAAGGAUGAUCUCCCCACUUCUUCGAGCGGGUCCUUAGGGGUGUCGGAUAUGGAUUCUCUUCCGACUGCCUCCACCCCCGUGAUGUGGACGAUGCCGAGGUGGGAUCCCAGGAAGGGACCCACCAGGAGGAGAGGGCCCCGGAGGUGUCGCAGGACAACCUCCCGGACUUUGCACCGGACUCAGCCGCGGAACCCAUAGUGGCUCCGAAGUCCGACGGGCGACCCCUUCGUAAGAAGGGCAAGACCGCGACGCCGGCUGCCUCUGUCCAACCGGAGGUGCCGGAUAAUUUGCUAGAGGCGCUCAAUAGCGCCUCUAUUGAAGAGGAACACCGCACUGUUAUGAGUGCGGUGAUUCAAAAAGUUCAGCUCGCCAAGAACGGGCUGACCGAAGCCUGCAGCAGCCUUCUAACAGGAUUUGAGGUAAGAAUUUCAAUAUAUGUAAAAUGGUACCGCAUAGAUAGUAGCCCCUGAUGCUCGGUUCGGUGUUCGGAAAGAAAAGCCGGACUAAGGAUCUUUAGAAAGAUAAACGCAGGAGUCAUGAAAAUAUGUCAAUAUGGGAUUGCAGGUUGUGCUGCUGACCUCUGCCGCACUGACUGCGAAGGUCAAAACUUUGAAGGAAAACCUCGAGCGGUCCGAGAACGAGCUCGGCCAUGCCAAGAAGCAGUUCGAGGAAAAAGAAGGUGAGUAAUACCUUAUGAAAAUUGUACCUUACAGAAAAGGAUUUGGUUGCAAGAAAAAUGACAAGGAUAACUGGGGUAUUGCAGGGGCCACUAACGAGGUGGCGACCCUAAAGGAGGCGGUGGCCGCGGCCGAACGCAAUGCGGCUGCGGAGCACACCGAGCAAGAGAAACAGGAGGCGCGGGUGGCGGAGGUACAGCAAGAGCUCCAGGAUCUCAUGAGGAAACAUGAGAGCUUGGAGCGUGACUCGAAGACUCGAGAGUCUGAGCUUGCAACGGCUCUUGAGUGCCAAAGCCGCUAAGGCCGAAGCCUACAAGGCCCUCCAGGAGAUCGAGGCGGUAAAGAAAAUAGCAGCGGGUAAGGCAUUUUUCAUGCAAAGUAAGCAUGUGAGUGUUAAUUACCUGUCGCUUACCCGAAUUCGGAGCUCUCCAGGAGCGUUCGCAGAUCUUCAUCGCAGCGUGUCCGAUGCUGCCGCAUUCUACCGGGCCAAGGAGGGGAGCUCGAUGGAGAAGGUCUUCUGGUCUCAGUAUGCUGAGGCCGAACAUCCGGUGCCCCUUAGCGACCAGCUGAAGCAGCUGGUCGAGCUCCACAAGGCGGCCAAACAGGCCAUGAAGGGCCUCAUAGUUCGGCUGUGGCCUAAGGAGGCCAUGCCUGGGAGCUACUUCGGCCUGGUGCGGCGGCUGGUGGAUGCGUGCCCGUGGGUUGAAGUCAUCAAGCACUCUGCCUGUAUUGAAGGUGCGCGUCGGGCCCUUGCCCGCGCAAAGGUGCACUGGGGCAAGAUGGAUGCCCAGAAGCUUGUGACGGACCCCCCACCAGAGGGCAAGGAGCAUCGCACGCCCGAGAUGUAUUAUAGGAGUGUGCUGAAGGGCGCCCGCACUAUUGCGGGUGAGUUCUCCAAAGAUGUAAUAUUUGAGUAGACUUGCAUUUUGUUAUCCUGUUGUCAGGACCCCGACUCAAUGUCACAUCGAUCUAGCCUGUAACACCUCAUAUCACUUUGCGGCCUCAUGCACGGUCUCCCCAUGGUUGUCGCCUUACCUUUGCCCGGGACCGUUUGCGCCUUUUGGCUCACGUAUAUGAUAGUGUCGCUAGCAUCCAUAUGAUAAGGAGCCCGGGCUGACAUGACUAGUCGUAAACCCAAAGUGGCACAGACUUACAGGGACAGGCAUCCAUGACCCAGCAUCGAACGUGUCGGUCAUCAGCAAGUGGGUCCGAGCUGUAGCACUGGGCUAGCAGGACUCCGGUAAACCGGGCUCUAGCGGGCUAACAAGACUCCGGUACUCAAUGCGUGACAUUUCCCCGAAGGGACAGACACAGGAACGAAGAAGGACACAUGCCGGCCAGCCUAAGUGUUCCGGAGCAGUAGCAAGCUACCAUGGCUCAGUGGUAACACUAGGAGACAUUUCCCGGUAAGUGAGGCUACUAAAGAUAAACAACUAGAUAGUCAGAUCCCACACAUACCAAGCAUUUCAAUCAUACACACAAUAUGCUCGAUAUGUGCAAAUACAACAAGGCAUCACAACAUGACUCUACGACACAAGUACUUUAUUUAAGGCUCAGAGAGCCAUACAUAACAUACACAUAAGUACGGGUCACACGACCCAGCAUUCAGGUCAUACAGUCAUACAAACCAGCAGUGGAAGUAACUUGUCUGAGUACAGACAAUUAGUAAAAUAAAAGAGGCUUGAAAGCCUAGCUAUACUACGUGGUCCUUCACAAGCUCAGGAUCACCACCUGGGCCUUAGCCUACUCAUUGAUGUCAACGUCUACGAAGAACCCAUCAGAAGGGGUUGCAGCGUCUUCUGUAAAAAUGUAAAUUAUAGCAACAUGAGUACAAAGGUACUCAGCAAGACUUACAUCAGAUCCUACAUACAUGCACAUUAUCAAGAAGGGUUGGUGGAGUUAUUGCAGCAAGCCAGCUUUGACUCUUGGCUAGGCUAUCCUACGAGACUCCAUCUUGAAACGGCUUUGCGCACACGAGUCCACUACUCACCACUUCAAUACACUACCGAGGAUCCGCCUCCGUCUUCCUACGGAAGAGCCAUCCUCGGCACUCACACUUGUCUUGAGGCUUUUAGUAGUUUCCAUUUACUUGUCUAUGAACUGUAUAGGAAACCAAGUAGUCCUUUACCGCGGACGCGGCUAUUCGAAUAGAUCAUGAUAACCCUGCAGGGGUGUACUUCUACAUACACGCUCUCGCCACUUACCGUCGUUUACACGACAUGUACUCGGCAACCUUCAAGCGGAAGCCCAACAUGGGUGUCGGCCACGACCUACCUAAUCACCUAAGUCUCUAGUCCAGGUUCAUCGCCUAUUCGGGUUCCAUCCAUGAGGAGAUCCGGCCGAGGUUUCGCUCAUAGCCCCAAACGAUGUGAACAGGGUUCCGAGACACCUAACGGGUGCCCGACAUACCCGGCCACGUACCUACCGCAUCACAGCCCACCCCUAUGGUCAGCGCUGUCCACAGCCUCCAGUAGGCUACAAACACCAAAACUGCUUGCAACUCCUGGACAGAGAACUAGGGUAAUUAAGAAGUCGAGAGGGUCCAUUGGUUUCGGGCCCAAUGCAUGGUAGUAGCUGAAUCUUAAAUCACACAUACGGAUCUCAGUGCUUAAGGUCGGCUUCAAUGAAACAACCCACCAUGUACUCCUACAUGGCCUCUCAUCGAUACCUUUACCAAAUCGUGUUCACCACACCACUCUCAUUACCGACAUAAUCAUUUCACUCUAGCCCAUCACCCAGAUGAACCAGACCUGACACGACUCUAAGCAUAGCAGGCAUAGCAAGGUAGGAACAACACAUACAUAUGGCUCAAUCAACUCCAACACAUGCUAGUGGGUUUCAUCUAGUUACUGUGGCAAUGACAGGUCAUGCAGAGGAAAUGGGUUCAACUACCGUAGCACACAGCAGUUUGAAACGCGUUGUCUUAAUGCAGUAAAAGAGAGCAGGGGCGAGAACAUGGGAUUGUAUCGAUAUGAUCAAAUGGUUGGUUGCUUGCGUGAUGGUUCGAUGCACUGAUAUGGUUCUUCGCUAGGGUAAUCACGGUACUCCUCGGAGGCAGAACCUGCCGCAAAGAACACCGAUACACAACCAUCACCAAACAAUGUGCGACAAUAUGAUGCAUGCAUGAAACAUGGCAAUAUGAGUGUGUUGGGCUAAUGUAACUAAGACCAGAAGGGUUUGAACCAAUUUGAACCAAAGAUUCAAAUUUCAAACUCAUACAUGGCCCUUUAAAGUGUUUUAUCUUGUUCCGCAUUAAACAUCAAGUUAACUUGUUUAAUCAUGCAUGAAAGCAGUACAGAUGGAUAGAUUGGAUUUUUCUGAUCAUUUUUCAUAUAUAACUUGUUUGAUUUGGAGUUACAGAUUAAAAGUUAUGAAUUUUUGAAGUUUAAACUAUAUUCUGGAAUUUCCUAUAUUAGAAUAAAUCCAGAAAUUAAUUUAUUGCGUCAGCCAUGCGUCAGAAUGACGUCAGGGUCAACGGAGACGUCCAGGUCAAACCUGACUGUGGGUCCAGGGUGUCAGGGUAAUUAGUUUAGUUUAAAGUUUAAUUAAAACUAACCCUAUUUAGUUAACAGGGCUGGGCCCCACCUGUCAUUGACUCAUCGGAGUCAACCAGGGCCCACCCGUGGUCAAAGCCAGGUCGGCUGCACUGGCGUUUAGCCGUCGGCGAGCCCGACGCGGCGGCGGAAGUGGUUUUGGCCGUUCCGGCAACCAAACGAGUCGCGGAGGCCAUCGGAGUGGAGCUGAGGAGGAGCCGCAGCUCUUGGUGGAGUCUGUUGGGGUCGGGGUGGCCGGAGUUGGCACCGGCGACGACUUUGGCGGCCACCGGAGUUUGGCCGAGGGCGAACUUGAUGCUAGAGGGGUCGGUGAGGUGCGGGGAGUAGCUGGUUAGGUGCUACGUGACGUGGUGAGCAUGAUGGACACCAAGUUGUGGCCGGAGGGUGACCGGGAGCACGUCGGCGAUGAGCUCCGCGGCGGUGGGUGCGGUUGAGCUCCGGGAGGUCACUACAUAGCUCGGGAGCAAGAAAAGAAGGGAGGGGAAGAUGGUUAAGCUCACGGGGAGUUCGACGAAGCACUUGGUGCGGCCGGGGACGGGUCGGAGCGACGACGGCGUUGAAGGGGAUCUCCAGCGACGGCGGUUCGGUCGAGGUCGAUGCGGUGGACUCGGGCCUUGCGAGUGCUCGGGGCUCGGCUUGCUCGAAGGAGAGGAGGGUGGCGGAGCUCCUGGACACGGCGGCACGGCGUGGGGUUGACGGAGGGCGUGGCUACGGCGAGGGGGUGGCGGCGAUGGCGUCGGCCAUGGCGGGGGAGUGCGAGAGAGAGGAGUUGGGGGAGAAUGGAGGUGUCCUGGGGGUUCACGGCUCGGCGUGGAGUUCAUCCAUCCAGCAACGAGGCGAGGAGGUGAAGCAGGGCGACGACCAGCUGCGUGGCGCACGCUGCGGCCGCCGUCGGGCACCUGCGUGCCUGCCUGGCCGGCAAGCAGCUCGCUGGCGCGGUGCUGGGCUGGGCCGGCAGGUGGGCCGGGUGCUGGGCGCCAGGUAAGUUUUUUGUUAUUCUCCUGUUUCUGUUUUUUUAAUUCCUCUGCAACUUUGUUGAAUUAUUAAAAAUACUUAGGCAACUCCUAAAAUCACCAAACUACUCCUGGUCCAUAGUUGGAUUAUUUCCAACAUGAAACAUUUUAGUUUGGACAUAUUUGAGCAUUUCAAAUAUUUUAUAUAAUUUUAAAUGCCCAAAUUCAAAUAUCUAUGAUUUAAUUCAAAGACCCUAAGAUGACCUAGGAAAAUGUGCACCACUUUUGGCAGAGGUUCUGAACCAAGACAAAAAUGAUGGGCAUUUUAGAAGGGCAUUUCAGGUUCAUUGAAAAAGUUUUUAGUAAACCCUAGUUGGUUUCAGAGGGGGCUGGGGGUUCUGUCAUCCCCAUUUCAGGUUUCUGAUGAAAGAAUAGACAUGAUGCAACACUCUAAUGCAUGAACUAGCUAGGGUGUGACAACUCACCCCCACUCAAAAGUAUCUCGUCCCGAGAUUUGGGUUCCUCCGGAAAGAGGGCGGGAUACUCGAGUCGAAGACGAUCCUCCCUUUCCCAAGUUGCUUCAUCCUCAGAAUGGUGUGACCAUUGAACUUUGAGAAACUUGAUAUUAUGACGUCGAGUGGUACGCUCGGCCUGAUCGAGGAUACGAAUGGGUUACUCUCGAUACGUUAAAUUAUCUUGGAGAUCAAGCGUUUUGUGGUCCACUCCACGGAUAGGAUCCGAGAAGCAACGCCUGAGUUGAGAAACGUGGAAGACAUCGUGGACUCUGGAGAGAUGCGGAGGUAGUUCCAACUGGUAGGCACCUUCUCCUCGUUUAGCGAGAAUACGAAAAGGUCCAAUGUAACGGGGAGCCAAUUUGCCUUUGAUACCGAAACGAUGGGUUCCCCUUAGAGGAGUAACCCGAAGGUAAGCCUUCUCGUCAACCUCGAAAGUCAUAGCCUUAUGUUUUCGGUCAUAUUGACUCUUUUGACGAGAUUGGGCUGUUUUCAAUUUUUCACGAACGAUGCGAACUUGCUCUUCUGCUUCCUGGAUCAUAUCCGGGCCAAAGAAUUGUCUUUCCCCGGUUUCUAACCAAUUAAGGGGUGUUCGACACCGUCGUCCAUAGAGAACUUCAAAAGGGGCUUUACCCAAGCUAGAUUGAUAGAUGUCGUUGUAAGCAAAUUCGGCAAAUGGAAGGCAUUUCUCCCAUUCCAUUCCGAAUGAGAUAACAGAGGCUCGAAGCAUGUCUUCUAGGAUCUGGUUGACGCGUUCUACUUGACCACUUGAUUGAGGGUGAAAAGCGGUGCUAAAGGAAAGGCGGGUUCCCAUAGCAUUUUGGAAACUUUCCCAAAAUCGAGAGGUGAAAAGACUUCCUCGAUCCGAAUUAAUUUCCAAAGGAACACCAUGGAGAGACACUAUUCGGGAGAUGUACAAGUCUGCUAACUGACUAGCAGUUAUACUCUCACGAACAGGUAAGAAAUGGGCUACCUUGGAAAGACGAUCGACAACGACGAAGAUAGCAUUAUUCCCUCUCUUGGUCCUGGGAAAACCGGUGAUGAAGUCCAUACCAAUUUUAUCCCAUUUCCAUUCAGGAAUAGCUAGGGGUUGAAGGGUGCCCGCAGGCCGUUGAUGCUCUACUUUUACAUGACGGCAGACGUCGCAGUUAGCAAUAUACUGAGCAAUUUCUCUCUUCAUCCUAGUCCACCAGAACCUCUGGCGUAGAUCCUGAUACAUCUUAGUGCUACCGGGAUGAAUGGUGAGAGGAGAUUCAUGAGCUUCCUUAAGGAUCAAUCGCCUCAGGUUUCGCACCUUGGGAACCACUAGCCGAUUCCCAAAGUAUACGACCCCUUGAUCAUCAAUGGAGAAACAAUUCGCAACUCCUUUCUUGAUGUUUCUCUUGAUGCGGGAAAUUCCCGGAUCUACCUUCUGUGCUUUGAUGAUCUGAUCCAUAAGAGUAGGUUUCGCCACCAUGGUGGAAAGGAAUCCUUGAGGAACAAUGUGAAGGUUAAGCUUCCGAAAUUCCUCAUGGAGAAGCGGUUGACUUUGUUGUAACAUCAGGUUGUUACAAUAAGAUUUACGACUUAGCGCAUCAGCCAUGACGUUGGCUUUCCCUGGGGUGUAAGUUAUCCCUAAGUCGAAAUCUGUGAUCAACUCGACCCAACGUCUUUGCCUGAGAUUCAAAUCCGGUUGGGUGAAGAUGUACUUCAGACUUUGGUGAUCAGUGAAUAUUUCACAACGAUUACCGAGGAGGUAAUGUCACUAGGUUUUAAGUGCAUAGACUACAGCUGCAAGCUCUAGAUCAUGAGUAGGAUAAUUCUCCUCAUGUGGGUGCAAUUGCCGUGAAGCGUAAGCAAUUACGUGUCGAUCUUGCAUGAGAAUACAGCCUAGUCCUUGUCGCGAGGCGUCGCAGUAGAUAACAAAGUCCUUAGAGAAAUCUGGCGGUACCAGUACGGGAGCAGAUGUCAGGCGUCUUUCAGUUCCUGAAAGCUGUGCUCACAUUGUGGAGUCCACUCAAACUUUUUAUCUUUCUUGAGGAGUUCGGUUAGAGGUUUCGCGACUUUGGAGAAAUUUUCGACAAAGCGACGGCAAUAGCUCGCUAAGCCUAGAAAACUCCGAACUUGCUUGACCGAUUCAGGUGGAGUCCAAUUAAGGACGGCUUGAACUCGCUCAGGGUUAACAGCAAUACCUUUACCAGAUAUUACAUGACCUAGAUAGGUCACUUCUGACAACCAAAAUUCACAUUUAGAAAAUUUGGCAUAAAGACGAUGCUCUCGAAGUUUCUUCAACACUAGCCUUAGAUGUUCGGCAUGUUCUUCCUCAUUCUUGGAGUAGAUGAGUAUAUCAUCAAGGUAAACCAUGACGAAUUUAUCCAAAUACUCCAUGAAGAUUGAGUUCAUUAACCGAGAAAAGGUGGCUGGAGCGUUGGUUAAACCGAAGGACAUGACGGUGUACUCGUAUUGGCCAUAACGAGUAACAAAUGCCGUUUUAGGAAUGUCCCCGUUCCUGAUUUUGAUUUGAUGGUAGCCCAACCUCAAAUCCAUUUUGGAGAAGACUGAGGAUCCAGCGAGCUGAUCAUACAGGUCGUUGAUCCUGGGGAGCGGAUAUUUGUUUUUGAUUGUGACCAAAUUGACAGGUCGAUAAUCUACAACCAUCCGGUCCGUACCAUCCUUCUUCUUGACGAAGAGGACGGGGCAAGCCCACGGAGAUGAACUAGGUCGGAUGAAACCCUUUUUCAAGGACUCAUCGAGUUGUUUCUUAAGCUCGGCUAGUUCUAGUGGUGCCAUCUUAUAAGGUCUUCUAGCAAUCGGGAUGGUUCCUGGAAUAAGGUCUAUUACGAACUCAACAUCCCUGUCAGGUGGAACACCUGGCAAUUCCUCUGGGAAGACAUCCGGAAAGUCACGGACUAUCGGGACGUCCUCAAGGUCUGGCAAAGGGCUGGCAUUAAGAGAAUAUAACUGUUGCUUGGCUAUUCGGGUCAAGACAUUGACUAUCUUCCCCGAAGGAUGGGUGAGUUGAACAGUCCUAGAGAAGCAAUCGAUUUUGGCAUGAUGGGCUGACAUCCAGUCCAUACCCAAGAUGAUAUUAAUAUCUGAAGAUUUAAGAGCUAUCAAAGAUGCAAGGAAAACAAGUCUGUCGACUUGGAUUUCAUUUCCAUGACUUACCCUGGAGGUUUGCCAUCUAGAACCGGGAGUGGAAAUUUCCAUGGUAGAAGGCAUGUCACAGAAUGCGAUGUUAUGCAAGCAAGCAUAGUUCUCGGAUAUAAAUGAAUGAGAUGCUCCUGUAUCGAAAAGAACAGAUGCCGGGUGGCAAUUAACAAGGAGCGUACCGAGAACGACGUUGGGAUCCUCUUGAGCUUCUUCGGCAGAGAUACAGUUGACAUGGCCACGUGCAGCGGUGGCCGGCUUGGCGUAGAACACUUUCCCUGUCGGCUUGCCACGGCCAACAGCUUUAGCAGAUUGGUUGGGGUUGGUCUGGGGACACUCGCGCAUAUAGUGGCCAGACUCCCCACACUUAAAGCAAGUCACGGAACUGGUGCAUGGAGGAGAAUUGUUGGUUGGACCACCAUAGGGCUUGGCUGGUGCAAACUGUUGAACGGGGCGAGGCGCCUGGAAGGAUGGCCUCGGUGUGAACCUGGGUGGCAGGGCAGUGUUAGGCACCCACACGCGGCGCUUCUGAGGACCAGCACCGGAUGAGGAACCCACGUCACGGCCAUGCUUGCGUGUUGCGUCAUAAUUAGUCUGACCAGUCUCAGCACUGAUGGCCUUGUUAACAAGCUUCUGAAAAGAUGUGCACUCAUGCAGACGGAGGUCGCGGCGAAGCUCAGGACUAAGUCCCUUACGGAACCUUGCUUGCUUCUUGGCAUCAGUAGAAACUUCCUUAGUUGCAUAUCGUGCGAGGUUACUGAACUCCCUGCUGUAAGCAUCCACAGAGAGUCGGCCUUGAGUGAAACUGCAAAAUUCCUCACGUUUACGGUCCAUGAGACCCUCCGAAAUGUGAUGUUCACGGAAAGCCUCGCUGAAUUCAGCCCAAGUAGUGACAUGGUCCGCUGGGCGCAUAGCUCCAUAAUUCUCCCACCAGAGACUGGCGGGGCCUUCAAGAUGGUAUGCAGCAAAGGUGACCUUGUCAGCCUCAGCUACUAGCGCGGAGCGCAGUUUGUGAGAAAUACUGCGAAGCCAAUCAUCAGCGUCGAGAGGCUCGACGGAGUGGUGGAACGUGGGUGGAUGUAACUUGAUGAAAUCACUGAGUGACACCAAGUUAGUCCUCUGAUGGUGUGCUGUGUUCUGUUCAAUACGUUCCAACAAACGGUUGGUCUCCCGCUUGUUUCUCUCGGCUUCCAGCAUAACUUCGGCUAGGGAAGGAGGGUGAGGCGGGUUUGCAUUCCCGACUUCACUGCCUUCGGCCUGCUCUUGGGAAACAGGGUUAUUGCGCGUGUUGACCAUCCUAGGUAAACAAGACAAUGAUUUAGUCAGAAUGAUAAGAUUCCGACAUAGAAUACAGAAUGUAAGGAAUAACUCGGAAUGCAAGAUGAUCAUCUGUAUGACAUGGUGGAUACAGAAACUGCUCCUUUUAUUCCAUCGUCAUACACACCAUACAAGGUUUAGUACAAGACCAAACAAGGUACUAUUACGGUGAAAAGAGGAUUACAUCUCAUCGGAGGCAUCCCAAGCUCCUAUACAUUAUUUUUCUACACCUCCGGAAGGCGGUACAAACUAGGUCAUAUCCCACGAGUCACGCAGGGUGCUAGACGACACCGCUAGUACAAACUAGUGAUACUACCACUAACUCAGACCGAUCCGUAGUAGUCCUCGUAGAAGUCACCUCCAUAGCCUGGAAGCUCAACAUGAUCAUCCGGGAACAGACGAUCUCGCGGAGCUUGUGGACCAUAGGGGCUAGGAUGAGGUCUUGGACCAACAGACGGUGGCCUGUGGGGACCGCGAGGUGGGGUGAUGCCUCCUACAUCACGCCAACCCAUCACGUCUGGCAGAGCAGAUCUCACAGGAUAGAGAUCGCGCAUAUCCGAAUAUCCAGCUUGCACAGCCGGUGCAAACCGAGUCAAAGUGGCCCAAUGGUCAGCACGGGUAUUGAAAAGCUCUAGCCUCAAGGCCCGAUUUUCACGGUCCUUAUCCUCGAGCAUCUCAGCAGUGGUGCGAGUCCGUGAAUCCUCCUGAGUGGGGUCAGCAUAGAUAGCCUGGAGAUACCCUUGUGCUCCCGGAAGUGAUGCUGGCAUAUACCGGAAAUCAGAGUCCCGAAAUAGGCCAGUCCUGACUCGCAUGAUGGUCAUCAUAGAGUAGGCGGCAUCCUGCACAGCCAUCUCAAUAGUAACCCCGAGUCCAUAGGAGCAGUGAAGGGGCUCGGUGGAUCCAGGAUAAGAUGGAAAUAUCCUGACAGUGCAAAGAUACUGGCUUUGGUUAAAGUCUCGAAAUUGCUCUUCGACCGUGUACUCAGGAUACCAACGGUAUCCAGCCUCAGUCAUUACCCUGACCAACAUGGCAGUAUGGUCGGGUACAUCUAGGCAUCGAGUCAGGCGAACCACUUGAUUGAGGUCGCGAGUGGCCAUCUGAAAGCACAACCAUAAUGCAAAGGCAUUAGAAUUUCUAGCAAAAUUUCGACAGCAUAACAGCUGUAAAUGCUCAAAAAGGAUUUUGAGACAUUUGACAAAGGAUUUCAUACACACUCAACAACAUCAUAUCAAAGUUCUGAGUCCAUCCUAGCAACAUAAUGUGGUAGUAGAACUGAACUAGGCCUGUAUCCAUCAAACCUAUAAGGUAUUACUGAUUAGUAACACGUGAACCUGAUAGAGAGAAAAGAUCCUAAUUCCUUAACCCCCGGUGGAAGAAUAGACUGACUCAGAUCAGAAUGUCAUAAGAUAAAGGAGUAAAAAGAGCCUUACGUUCCAACCCACAAACAAUUCCCCUACAUAUAACUAAAGAAUUUCUAGACUCAACAUCGACCAGUUUGGCUUGGAGAACCUACAGGCAGUCCGGCUCUCAUGCCAACGCUGUCAGGACCCCGACUCAAUGUCACAUCGAUCUAGCCUGUAACACCUCAUAUCACUUUGCGGCCUCACGCACGGUAUCCCCACGGUUGUCGCCUUACCUUUGCCCGGGACCGUUUGCGCCUUUUGGCUCACGUAUAUGAUAGUGUCGCUAGCAUCCAUAUGAUAAGGAGCCCGGGCUAACAUGACUAGUCGUAAACCCUAAGUGGCACAGACUUACAGGGACAGGCAUCCAUGACCCAGCAUCGAACGUGUCGGUCAUCAGCAAGUGGGUCCGGGCUGUAGCACUGGGCUAGCAGGACUCCGGUAAACCGGGCUGUAGCGGGCUAACAGGACUCCGAUACUCAAUGCGUGACAUUUCCCCGAAGGGACAGACACAGGAACGAAGAAGGACACAUGCCGGCCAGCCUAAGUGUUCCGGAGCAGUAGCAAGCUACCAUGGCUCAGUGGUAACACUAGGAGACAUUUCCCGGUAAGAGAGGCUACUAAAGAUAAACAACUAGAUAGUCAGAUCCCACACAUACCAAGCAUUUCAAUCAUACACACAAUAUGCUCGAUAUGUGCAAAUACAACAAGGCAUCACAACAUGACUCUACGACACAAGUACUUUAUUUAAGGCUCAGAGAGCCAUACAUAACAUACACAUAAGUACGGGUCACACGACCCAGCAUUCAGGUCAUACAGUCAUACAAACCAGCAGCGGAAGUAACUUGUCUGAGUACAGACAAUUAGUAAAAUAAAAGAGGCUUGAAAGCCUAGCUAUACUACGUGGUCCUUCACAAGCUCAGGAUCACCACCUGGGCCUUAGCCUACUCAUUGAUGUCAACAUCUACGAAGAACCCAUCAGAAGGGGUUGCAGCGUCUUCUGUAAAAAUGUAAAUUAUAGCAACAUGAGUACAAAGGUACUCAGUAAGACUUACAUCAAAUCCUACAUACAUGCACAUUAUCAAGAAGGGUUGGUGGAGUUAUUGCAGCAAGCCAGCUUUGACUCUUGGCUAGGCUAUCCUACGAGACUCCAUCUUGAAACGUUUUUGCGCACACGAGUCCACUACUCACCACUUCAAUACACUACCGAGGAUCCGCCUCCGUCUUCCUACAGAAGAGCCAUCCUCGGCACUCACACUUGUCUUGAGGCUUUUAGUAGUUUCCAUUUACUUGUCUAUGAACUGUAUAGGCAACCAAGUAGUCCUUUACCGCGGACGCGGCUAUUCAAAUAGAUCAUGAUAACCCUGCAGGGGUGUACUUCUGCAUACACGCUCUCGCCACUUACCGUCGUUUACACGACAUGUACUCGGCAACCUUCAAGCGGAAGCCCAACGUGGGUGUCGGCCACGACCUACCUAAUCACCUAAGUCUCUAGUCCAGGUUUAUCGCCUAUUCGGGUUCCAUCCAUGAGGAGAUCCGGCCGAGGUUUCGCUCACAGCCCCAAACGAUGUGAACAGGGUUCCGAGACACCUAACGGGUGCCCGACAUACCCGGCCACGUACCUACCGCAUCACAGCCCACCCCUAUGGUCAGCGCUGUCCACGGCCUCCAGUAGGCUACAAACACCAGAAACUACUUGCAACUCCUGGACAGAGAACUAGGGUAAUUAAGAAGUCGAGAGGGUCCAUUGGUUUCGGGCCCAAUGCAUGGUAGUAGCUGAAUCUUAAAUCACACAUACAGAUCUCAGUGCUUAAGGUCGGCUUCAAUGAAACAACCCACCAUGUACUCCUACAUGGCCUCUCAUCGAUACCUUUACCAAAUCGUGUUCACCACACCACUCUCAUUACCGACAUAAUCAUUUCACUCUAGCCCAUCACCCAGAUGAACCAGACCUGACACGACUCUAAGCAUAGCAGGCAUAGCAAGGUAGGAACAACACAUACAUAUGGCUCAAUCAACUCCUACACAUGCUAGUGGGUUUCAUCUAGUUACUGUGGCAAUGACAGGUCAUGCAGAGGAAAUGGGUUCAACUACCGUAGCACACAGCAGUUUGAAACGCGUUGUCUUAAUGCAGUAAAAGAGAGCAGGGGCGAGAACAUGGGAUUGUAUCGAUAUGAUCAAAUGGUUGGUUGCUUGCGUGAUGGUUCGAUGCACUGAUAUGGUUCUUCGCUAGGGUAAUCACGGUACUCCUCGGAGGCAGAACCUGCCGCAAAGAACAUCGAUACACAACCAUCACCAAACAAUGUGCGACAAUAUGAUGCAUGCACGAAACAUGGCAAUAUGAGUGUGUUGGGCUAAUGCAACUAAGACCAGAAGGGUUUGAACCAAUUUGAACCAAAGAUUCAAAUUUCAAACUCAUACAUGGCCCUUUAAAGUGUUUUAUCUUGUUCUGCAUUAAACAUCAACUUAACUUGUUUAAUCAUGCAUGAAAGCAGUACAGAUGGAUAGAUUGGAUUUUUCUGAUCAUUUUUCAUAUAUAACUUGUUUGAUUUGGAGUUACAGAUUAAAAGUUAUGAAUUUUUGAAGUUUAAACUAUAUUCUGGAAUUUCCUAAUAAAUCCAGAAAUUAAUUUAUUGCGUCAGCCAUGCGUCAGAAUGACGUCAGGGUCAACGGAGACGUCCAGGUCAAACCUGACUGUGGGUCCAGGGUGUCAGGGUAAUUAGUUUAGUUUAAAGUUUAAUUAAAACUAACCCUAUUUAGUUAACAGGGCUGGGCCCCACCUGUCAUUGACUCAUCGGAGUCAACCAGGGCCCACCCGUGGUCAAAGCCAGGUCGGCUGCACCGGCGUUUAGCCGCCGGCGAGCCCGACGCGGCGGCGGAAGUGGUUUUGGCCGUUCCGGCAACCAAACGAGUCGCGGAGGCCAUCGGAGUGGAGCUGAGGAGGAGCCGCAGCUCUUGGUGGAGUCCGUUGGGGUCGUGGUGGCCGGAGUUGGCGCCGGCGACGACUUUGGCGGCCACCGGAGUUCGGCCGAGGGCGAACUUGAUGCUAGAGGGGUCGGUGAGGUGCGGGGAGUAGCUGGAUAGGUGCUACGUGACGUGGUGAGCAUGAUGGACACCAAGUUGUGGCCGGAGGGUGACCGGGAGCACGUCGGCGAUGAGCUCCGCGGCGGUGGGUGCGGUUGAGCUCCGGGAGGUCACUACAUAGCUCGGGAGCAAGAAAAGAAGGGAGGGGAAGAUGGUUAAGCUCACGGGGAGUUCGACGAAGCACUUGGUGCGGCCGGGGACGGGUCGGAGCGACGACGGCGUUGAAGGGGAUCUCCAACGACGGCGGUUCGGUCGAGGUCGAUGCGGUGGACUCGGGCCUUGCGAGUGCUCGGGGCUCGGCUUGCUCGAAGGAGAGGAGGGUGGCGGAGCUCCUGGACACGGCGGCACGGCGUGGGGUUGACGGAGGGCGUGGCUACGGCGAGGGGGUGGCGGCGAUGGCGUCGGCCAUGGCGGGGGAGUGCGAGAGAGAGGAGUUGGGGGAGAAUGGAGGUGUCCUGGGGGUUCACAGCUCGGCGUGGAGUUCAUCCAUCCAGCAACGAGGCGAGGAGGUGAAGCAGGGCGACGGCCAGCUGCGUGGCGCACGCUGCGGCCGCCGUCGGGCACCUGCCUGCCUGCCUGGCCGGCAAGCAGCUCGCUGGCGCGGUGCUGGGCUGGGCCGGCAGGUGGGCCGGGUGCUGGGCGCCAGGUAAGUUUUUUGUUAUUCUCCUGUUUCUGUUUUUUUAAUUCCUCUGCAACUCUGUUGAAUUAUUAAAAAUACUUAGGCAACUCCUAAAAUCACCAAACUACUCCUGGUCCAUAGUUGGAUUAUUUCCAACAUGAAACUUUUUAGUUUGGAGAUAUUUGAGCAUUUGAAAUAUUUUAUAUAAUUUUAAAUGCCCAAAUUCAAAUAUCUAUGAUUUAAUUCAAAGACCCUAAGAUGACCUAGGAAAAUGUGCACCACUUUUGGCAGAGGUUCUGAACCAAGACAAAAAUGAUGGGCAUUUUAGAAGGGCAUUUCAGGUUCAUUGAAAAAGUUUUUAGUAAACCCUAGUUGGUUUCAGAGGGGGCUGGGGGUUCUGUCAUCCCCAUUUCAGGUUUCUGAUGAAAGAAUAGACAUGAUGCAACACUCUAAUGCAUGAACUAGCUAGGGUGUGACACAUGUGCGCUGAAAACUUGGUUCAUAUGCGCUAAGCAACGCUUGUUAAUUUAAAAUAUUACCUUCUGUGCGGCUGUUUAUCAAAUCUGAGAGAUGGCAAGUCGUCGGCUUCAGCCCCCAUGCCGCGAGUGCUGGGGUGUUCGGGAUAAACUCGAGCGCUCUUGUUCCCAUUUUUGGGUCCAUCUAGGGAGGCGCUCAACACAACGAACAAGGCAACCGGACUUAUAAUGCUUGAACACUCUCACUUAGCCAUAUAAUUCUAUAAUUUUAAAUUUCGGCGAAGCCCCUAGUUUUCGGAAGGCCGAAUUUGGGGCGCUAUCCACGCCUUGGCCGGACAGAAUCCGGCUCCUCGCUCGAAGCGGCAUAAGUCUUUAGGGACUCGCAAAUAACCUCUCGAACAGCGACCAGCUCUCGCCUCAUCAUGACGGUCAGUUUUAGCUUUCUCCACUGAGGCGUUAACCCAGCUCAACUGGGGCGCAAUCGCAGUGGUUCUCCCAGUGCUACCUUAGCCGAUAAAACGGAACGUAAGGUACCAAAACAUGGGAGCCGGGCAAACCCAACGAUUGACCCAAGAACAUGAUUCGGAGCCGAUGCAUAUAAUGCUAUAAGUUCGGGGUGCCGCACUUGUGGAAGUGUUCGGACUUAUCACACCAUAACGCGGGAAACAUAAGCCCCUGGUGUAUUUAGCCGUACCAAAACAUACGGAUGCAACAUGUCAUAGAUGAACAUAUGUGUAAGAAAGAAAUGCAAUUAGAAGCAAAAAUGUGCUGCAUUGCUUUAUUCAAUAAAAACUGCUGUAAGUGCAGGACGAUACAAGUGGUGCGGUAAGCAAGGGAUGGGACUGUUUAACAUGUCCCCCUCCAGGGGUAGGCUACAGAAUAAUGCAUAAAACAGAUUUAAUGCUCAUGAUGGAGACCACCUGGGUUUUCGUUGUAGCCUUUCUCCUUCCCUGGCUGCUGCAUCGUGGGUUCGGCAUGUCUGCUGCCGGACAGGGCCUCUGACGAACGGAGUCCUGUAGGUAAAAAAUAAAAGGAAAAGAAAAAGAACGACACACUUAAGAGCCCCUGGUGCGGUUGAGCCGCAGUCUGGGCUUAUCAUGGUCGAGCCCCUUGCCCCAUGCCCAUGGUAUCUUCAGAGCGUAAUGGAGUACGCGAAGGGUCUGUCUUAAUGUUUUACAGGGGCUAGGGUUGGGGCCGCACUGCUACGCGUGCUCGGAACGUGCCAGGUGGUCGUGUUGUAGGUUACUCCGGGCACGCUUAGCUGUGUCCGGCCGCUUGGCAGCCGGACUCGAGAAUUGCCUUAAAAGGCUGCUUUGUACUUCUGUCGUGAGAGCCGUUGUAUGUUCCUCCGUUUGGAGGGAGCGUUCAGUGUUUCCGUUGACCGUGAUGACUCCUCUAGGGCCUGGCAUCUUGAGCUUGAGGUAUGCAUAGUGCGGCACCGCGUUGAACUUUGCGAACGUGGUACGUCCGAGCAAGGCAUGAUAGCCGCUGCGGAACGGGACUAUGUCGAAGAUUAACUCCUCGCUUCGAAAGUUAUCCGGGGAUCCGAAGACCACUUCCAGCGUAACUGAGCCUGUACAAUUGGCUUCUACACAUGGUAUGACGCCUUUAAAGGUCGUCUUGGUAGGUUUAAUCCUUGAGGGGUCUAUGCCCAUUUUGCGCACCGUGUCCUGAUAAAGCAGGUUUAGGCUGCUGCCGCCGUCCAUCAGGACUCUGGUGAGAUGAAAUCCAUCGACGAUUGGGUCUAGAACCAAUGCGGCGAACCCACCAUGGCGAAUGCUGGUGGGGUGGUCCCUUCGGUCAAAGGUGAUCGGGCAAGAGGACCAUGGAUUGAACUUCGGGGCAACUGGCUCCAUCGCGUAUACAUCCCUGAGUGCACGCUUCCGCUCCCUUUUGGGUAUGUGCGUGGUAUAUAUCAUGUUCACCGUCCGCACCUGUGGGGGGAAACCCUUCUGUCCUCUAUUGUUCGGCGGUCGGGUCUCUUCCUCGUCGUCGCUAUGUAGCCCCUUGUUGCUGUUUUCGGCAAUUAACUUGCCUGCCUGCUUGAACACCCAACAGUCCCUAUUGGUGUGGAUAGCUGGCUUUUCAGGGGUGCCAUGUAUCUGGCACAAGCGGUCGAGAAUUCGGUCCAAAUUGGACGGACCCUGAGUUGUUCUUUUGAAUGGCUUUUUCCGUUGACCAGGUUUAGAGCCUCUGAAUCCGGCAUUGACUGUCGUAUCCUCACUGUUAUCACCAUUAAUGCGGCGUUUGUUUUUGUUGCGACGCGACCUGCCACUAUGGUCCUUGAUAUCCGGACUGCCAGAAUUUUUGUUGAGGUUGUUGCUGCAUGCUAGCCAGCUGUCCUCACCCGCACAGAAGCGGUUCAUGAGUGAUGUAAGGGCUGCCAUGGAUUUCGGCUUUUCCUGUCCCAGGUGCCGGGCAAGCCACUUGUCGCGGAUGUUAUGCUUGAAGGCCGCGAGGGCCUCGGCAUCCGGACAGUCGACGAUUUGGUUUUUCUUGGUUAAGAACCGUGUCCAGAA
rnacentral:lncRNA from 1 species